rnacentral:rRNA from 1 species
UACGUAGGGGGCAAGCGUUGUCCGGAUUUAUUGGGCGUAAAGAGCGUGUAGGCGGCCAGACAGGUCCGUUGUGAAAACUCGAGGCUCAACCUCGAGACGCCGAUGGAAACCGUCUGGCUAGAGUCCGGAAGAGGAGAGUGGAAUUCCUGGUGUAGCGGUGAAAUGCGCAGAUAUCGGGAGGAACACCUAUGGCGAAGGCAGCUCGCUGGGACGUUACUGACGCUGAGACGCGAAAGCGUGGGGAGCAAACAGG